rnacentral:rRNA from 1 species
UACGGGGGGGGCAAGCGUUGUUCGGAAUUACUGGGCGUAAAGGGCUCGUAGGCGGCCAACUAAGUCAGACGUGAAAUCCCCAGGCUCAACCUGGGAACUGCGUCUGAUACUGGAUGGCUUGAACCCGGGAGAGGGAUGCAGAAUUCCAGGUGUAGCGGUGAAAUGCGUAGAUAUCUGGAGGAAUACCGGUGGCGAAGGCGGCAUCCUGGACCGGCAUUGACGCUGAGGAGCGAAAGCCAGGGGAGCAAACGGG